CUGAACACUGCACAACUGCUACGUGUAGACACUGGUUAUAAACAGCAAAAUGGACUGGAGAAUUAUACUGGCUAUUUUAUGUCUGAUUGCUACAAGUGCCGCGCAAAACACUUCAAGUAAUCAGACCGCUGUGAAUUCAACAUCUACAAACAACUCCUCAAACACAUCAACAACGAUCACAGCUAAUAACACCUCACCCUCAAACACAUCAACAACGAUCACAGCUAAUAACACCUCACCCUCAAACACAUCAACAACGAUCACAGCUAAUAACACCUCACCCUCAAACACAUCAACAACAGCUAAUAACACCUCACCCUCAAACACAUCAACAAUCACAGCUAAUAACA